GUGAAUCAUCGAAUUUUUGAACGCAAAUUGCACUCUCUGGUAUUCCGGAGAGUAUGCCUGUUUGAGGGUCAGUUUAAAUAACAAUCGGUGUUGGGGCUGCGUUUCGUGGUGACGCACCGGGUUUGGGUCGUCUUGACUUCGGUUAAGUGACCUAAAAGUUUGCAUGAGUUUUUCGAACGGAUUUAAUUGAUUU
rnacentral:misc_RNA from 1 species